CCGCGGCGGGAAGGAGCCGAGCGGGCUCGAGGCCGACGCGACAAGCCUUCGUUGCCGCCGCCGCCGCCGCCGCUGCCGCCACCGCUGUGAGAGGAGUCGCCGCGGCCGUCCCUGCCGCCCUCGCCGGCCACCAUGUCCGCCCAGGCGCAGAUGCGGGCCCUGUUGGACCAACUCAUGGGCACGGCCCGGGACGGAGACGAAACCAGACAGAGGGUCAAGUUUACAGAUGACCGUGUCUGCAAGAGUCACCUUCUGGACUGCUGCCCUCAUGAUAUCCUGGCUGGGACGCGCAUGGAUUUAGGAGAAUGUACCAAAAUCCACGACUUGGCCCUCCGAGCAGAUUAUGAGAUUGCAAGUAAAGAAAGGGACCUGUUUUUUGAAUUAGAUGCGAUGGAUCACUUGGAGUCCUUUAUUGCUGAGUGUGAUCGGAGAACUGAGCUUGCCAAGAAGCGGCUGGCAGAGACCCAAGAGGAGAUCAGUGCAGAAGUUUCUGCGAAGGCAGAAAAAGUACAUGAGUUGAAUGAAGAAAUAGGAAAACUUCUUGCUAAAGCUGAGCAACUGGGAGCUGAGGGAAAUGUGGAUGAAUCCCAGAAGAUUCUUAUGGAAGUGGAGAAAGUCCGUGCAAAGAAAAAAGAAGCUGAGGAAGAAUACAGAAAUUCCAUGCCCGCAUCCAGUUUUCAACAACAGAAGCUGCGUGUCUGUGAGGUCUGUUCGGCCUACCUUGGUCUCCACGACAAUGACCGUCGUCUUGCGGACCACUUCGGGGGCAAGUUACACUUGGGGUUCAUUCAGAUCCGGGAGAAGCUUGAUCAGUUGAGGAAAACUGUGGCUGAAAAGCAGGAGAAGAGAAAUCAGGAUCGACUGAGGAGGAGAGAGGAGAGAGAGCGGGAGGAGCGACUGAGCAGGAGGUCUGGAUCAAGAACCAGAGAUCGAAGGAGGUCACGCUCCCGGGAUCGGCGUCGCAGGAGGUCCAGAUCUACCUCCAGGGAGCGACGAAAGUCGUCCCGAUCCCGGUCCCGAGACAGACACCGGCGCCACCGCAGCCGUUCCCGCAGCCACAGCCGGGGCCACCGCCGGGCUUCCAGGGACCGGAGUGCGAAAUACAAGUUCUCCAGAGAACGGGCACCGAGGGAGGAGGCCUGGGAGCAUGGGCGCAGUGAGCGAGGGGCUGCUGACUGGAGGCUGGAGAGCUCCAAUGGGAAGACAACUUCGCGGAGGUCGGAGGAAAAGGAGGCUGGAGAGAUCUGAACCUACAUCCGGGCCUCCAUCACCACCAUCCAUGGAGGAGUGGUUUUGAAAAGGCAGAGUGAAGACAUCCCUGGACUUAGGAGUAGUAAUGAGGUGUCAGCCACAAAGUUUCCCCAUGUGUCAAGUGGGAGCUGAAGAAAUAAUGAAUGUGCUGGACCCACUGGGAUACAGAGGAAGGUGCAGGAGAGCAGUGGGAGACCUCAGAAGUCCAGGCUGGAGACCAUCAACUCUCAGACCAAGUGUGUGUCAUAAAAUGUAAAGAUGGAAACCCGGUUCAUCAUUUCAGCAAAUGGGAGCGGAAUCUGCAAAGUUCUGAAAUGAAACGCGGGACAUGGAAUGCACGCAAGGGACCACUCCAGGUGCAGAUGGGGAAUCCCAAGCAGUGGCAGCAGAACCCACCCCACUCCCCUCCUCUGCCCUUUUCUUGCCUUCCCUCUCCUGGACGCUGCGGACAGGUCCCUGGUGGAAGCGAGGAGACCCCCCCCCCCCCGCCCCCUCCGGGCGCCGCGGCACGUUCGCAGACAAAGAGAACGGAGGCGUACAGAGGCUGCAGCCCACUCAGACUUUAUUCAAAGAUCGGGAAGUUGAGAUGCGCCGAGCGCGAGAGAGCCUCGGGUCGGGGGCAGGGGGACCGCCGCGGCUUCAGCUUAACGGUAUUUGGAGGUCAACACGGUGCUCACGGUGCUGAAGAACUUGUCCAGGGAGGCGUGGACCGCAGGGGUGAAUUCCGCGGGGUGGUGGCUGGCCAGGGUCACCAGCAGGCAGUGGCUCAGGAGCUGCGGAGAGAAGGGACGUCAGCGGCCGCCCGCGCUCCACCUUCCGGAGCCCGGGGGCCGUCUGCCCUGCUAGCAGGCCCCGCUGCGCCCUCCUGCCCCAGAUCUCUCCGGGCCGGCCCGCGUGCUCACCUUGAAGUUGAUGGGGUCCACACGCAGCUUGUACGCGUGCAGGUCGCUC